AUAAAUGCAUUUGGCUUCCUUACCUUGAGUAUUGAAUCAACAUUUGAAAACAAAGUAAUCAACCUUUGGCAAUUUGGUUUCCUGGAUCUUUCAGCCAUCUCCUCCCCCAACUCUCUGCUUCCCCUUCUUCUACCUCUCGCCUCCUCCCCCUCCAAUCUGGCUUUCCCUCCUUCCUGGCAGCAUUUUUAGCUUUAAUUUGAUAGUAAAAAACUGAAUCCAAAGUUACAAAAUUCUUCAGAUUCAACUUCUUUGAAAGAAAAAGAAGUUUUAGAAAAAGAAUAGAUAUCGCAGCUUCUAACCAGAACUCCUUCCGAGGCACAUGUCCCCCACAUGUGGCAGGUGCCCUAUGAAGGUGAAACAGAUAAUAUUCAUUCAGGAAAUAUUCCCGUAUUUAAAAAUGGGUUUUCUUUUUUAGCUCUUAGAACAGCCACUUUUCUGGGCCCCAGAGAUAAGAAGGGAACAAAACAAAGUCCCCAUUCUCAUUAAACUUACGCUCUACUGGAACAACAGACAAAAACAAAUGACCAAACCAACAUAUUAAAAAUGGUUAGUGAUAAAUACUAUGAAAAU
ensembl:lncRNA novel transcript